rnacentral:lncRNA from 1 species
AAGAAAAGCGGUGUGGACUCUGAAGUCUGUAGGAGGAGGAGGAGGACCCCAUCCUUAAAACAAAGACAAACUCCCCCACUUCAUCAUGAUAUUCCUCCUCCACCACACCAUUGCCCAUCCAUCUCCUAGCUAGCUCCUGCAUCUCCUCUCUUUUUUUUCUCCAUUCUGUGUUAAUCUUUCCUCCUUUUUGUGUGUGCGUGGGUGUGCGUGUGUGAGAUGAAAGAAAGCUACUGGAGCAGCUGCUGGCAUCAUUCGAACGUCGUCACAGGUGUACAACAACCUGAAUCGAAGCUCGCUGCCGUAGUUAAUCGAAGCUGAAUCCACUAAAUAAGCAUGCAUAAAUAAAUAUAAGAAAAACCAAGACAAAGCAUAGUACAGUAAGUACACAGAUGGAUGGAUCUUGGCAAGUUCCUUGAAUGCUAGUGCUAGUAAGUAUUCUCAGAAAUUAAAGCUUUUUGUACUACCUUGAAGGAUUUGCUGCCGGAUUUGGAGAGG